CGCCAUGUCCCGAGCCAGGAGCAUCGUAAUUUUCCCCGCUGUGCAGGCCCUGCGUUGUAAAUUAUGUCGCAUUGCAUUCUUGUAAAUGAGCCUUUCCCUUCUCUGUCCCAUUUUGUCCAGCAGAUAGCAUUGUGAUGUGCUAGAGAGGACCGUUGCACCUUUUGAGGCAUUAUCUCUGGAAGUAAAAUCUCCUAGACUUUGGCUGGUCAAGUGGCAUGGAUUGCGAUUUGCGACAGUGGAUGACAUGAACCGAAUUGGUAUGGUUGUCGAUACUCAGGAUCAUGCAGUGCAGCAAUCAGGUUUAUGCCUCUAAAUUUUCAGUGAGCACACUGAAGUACAACUAAAAACUGAUAAAAUUUGCUAAAUACUCCCUCUGUUGGAAAAAGCUUGGCCCAAGCUUGUCCUUCAAAUGGAUGUAUCUAGCACUAACUUGAUGCUAGAUACUGGAUACAUCCAUUUGAAGGACAAACUUUUUCAGACGGAGUGUUACUCAAACAGUGUAGUGUGUCAAUCUUAGACUGACGAGAAACAUGGUGAGCCCAGAGCUUGCACUACCAAAUACCACAAAACCGUCGUCGCUAGUCUUGAGAGUAAUUGCAGAUUGAAGAAUUGACACAUAUUGUUGAAUAAGUUACAAUGGCCCGUUGAUCGGCCAAUAUUCUUGUAAGAUGAAGUUGCAACGCAAUGGAGCACACAUUCUUGUGAACCGUUGCACCUCAUUCAGGGAUACUUCUUCGAAGGAUUGUUUACUGGAACUCAUGGCGGUGUUGUUUGCUUCCUCUUUGCUUUAGCUGUAUAAAUAAUUAAAUAUUCAUCUAUGAGUAAACGUACUGGGUACAUGGAUGUAUUUUGUAUGUAAGCUGACUAUAUUCAUGUGUGAGUUUACAAAAGUGUGCCAAAUUGGAAGAAAGCUAUCUCUUUCAUUCAAGUCAGUUUGGGCAGAGUAUAUGCCUUGUAGCAUUUUUGCUUAGCAAUGCUAUCCACAAAGAAACAGAAUGAAAAGUGAAGCGGCGUUUUGGUGCGUGAACAGUAAAUCAUAAAAAAUCCAGAACAAAUUCUGAAAAAAAUUUGUGAUGCAAGAUGCUCAGAUGCGUGAUACUCGUGCAAAAUUCGUGAAGUUUGAACAUUCGAGUAGCUCGUGGCAAAAAAAAAAAAAAAACAAUCAGAUCUGUGAGAAACAUUUGAAAACAACAAUGUCCACGCCCAAAUUUGACUUUUUUGCCGCGCGCUUCUCGAAUGUCCAAGUUUUACAUGAACUUCACGCACAUGGACAUCUUGAUUGCAAAAGAAUCAGAUUUUUUUUUCUAUUUUUAAUCACUAUACUGUUCACCAGGCUCAUCUGAGCCCAGGCACCGAAGUGGAUAUUCGAUGAAAAGAUGACUAAUAUCCCAGAAUCAAGAAGAACGUACAUGUGCUCUGUUGGGGGUUGCUGAACCUUGAUGCCAACCAGGCGCCACAGAAGACAUGGCAGAACACCCAUCCAACGAAACGGUGAAGGAAAAUGGAAGACAUAUAGCAAAUCUGCAGGCGACCCGCAUACCCAAAAAUUCAGAUCUUUAACCUGUAUCAAAAUAAGAAAUUUGAAUAAAAUAUUCUGUCUAAAACAUAUUUUAAGAUAGCCCAUUCAUCAAGCAGUUAGGUAUGUGUAUUGAAAUGAAUCAAGCAAAAUUAGCAUUGUUUUAUAUCACUCAUUAUGUAUAAAGGUUUUUUCCCCUUGCAUGAAGUAUAAUGUUUGCCGUAGUCAAUCAAGCAUGCCUAAAGGAUGAAAAAACUUAAACCUAUUGGAUGCCAGACCGAAGACAUGCGCUUCCAGCCACUCAUUCCUCUGCAAACGUCGUUAAAUUUGUACAAAAACAGAGUUCCCAGCUAAACCAGUUAAGGAUGACAAUUUUCAUUUUUUUCCGACAAAGGCGCAUUACUGACGAAUUCAUCAUAUAUACACUUCGCUAGAAACAAAGUUCGCUACAUUCAUCAUAUAUAUUCAAAGGGUGAGUGUAGAAUAGCUUAUUCUACAUCCCUAGUAACGCUAUGUACAAAAUCUAGUAAACACUAUAUAAAAUGUAGUAAUUCUGAAACAUUAUUUUUACUAUCCAAUUCUUGAUUUACUACAUUGUCAAAAAAAUUACUAUAGUUUAUAUUCUGAAAUAUUAUAGGUCUUAGUUGGUACAAUCCCCCUGAAAUGCUUAUUGUUGCGUUCCUUCCAAAUGCUCCAUGCUGCAAGUAAAAAUAGCUCCAUGAAGAGAGGUAUGUUCCAGCUGUUCUUGGCUGAAGCAAUGUUUUGUAAUCAUGAUUGUCCCUGAUUCCAGACAAGACCAAGGCUGAACCAACAUUCAGUGCUAAAAUGACACUCAAAGAACAGGUGCUCCAGAGUUUCCUCGAUGUGAAGUCCACAUAGAAUACAGUCGUGGUCAUUUCCAAUAUUGUAGUGUCUUUGUUUGAGCAUAUUUCGUGUGUUUAGGCGAUCAGAGAAGAGUAACCAACCGAAGAACUUGAUUUUCAUGGUGGAUUUUGAUUUCCAGAUCCAGCCAAAAGCCUCAUGAGCACGUACUUCCCGGAAGUAGAAUGUGUAGUAUCUAUGAGCCGUGAAAGUCUCCGUACCCCAAAUAUAUGUCCACACACCUGGUUCAUUGGAAAGAACAAUCUCCAUCGCGUCACACUGCAGUUGGCGAACUUCUGCAUAUGCCUGUGCUGAGAGGGGAAGUUGAAACGCCUCUCGUAGCAACGUGAUGGACAAGAAAUCCCUAACUGAUAAGUCUUCAUUUAUGGCGUAAGAAAGGGCUCGCAGGUAUUUCUCAGCAAAAAUGGUGUCAGUCCAUAAGUCUUUCCAGAAUAGUACAUUGGUUCCAUUUGCCACUUGGACGGUUGAGAUUCAUCUGUAUAUUGGCAUCAGCUUUGCGACAUCUCGCCACCAGAAAGAUCCACAAGGAUCAGAUGCAUGCGGGAUUUGAUUCGUGUAGUAUGUGUCCCAAAUAAGUUCAACCCAUGGCAUGUUCCAACUAUUAUACAAUUUGUGCAGAUAUUUCAAUAAGAGUGCAUCUCCUUGAAUUGUGAGAUCAAUCACUCCGAGCCCUCCACUUUCUUUGGGCCGACACACCAUUUCCCAAGAUGCUAGAGAGUUGCACUUGUCCCCUUGCUCAAUUUUCUUGGUCCAUAGGCACUUCCUUCGAAUUUUAUCCAGGAGCUCAAUUAUUUUGGUUGGCAAUCGAAGGGUGCAGAGAGCAAAGAUAAUAAGCAAGGUGAUCACUGAAUUAAGCAAAGAGAGCUUUCCACCAUAAGAGAUCAUGUUGAGAGUGGCCGUUAACCGUCGUUCUACGGAGCAAACUAGAGGCAUGAGCUCUAGAACUAUUGGGCGAGUGGUACCAAGGGGAAGCCCCAAGUAAGUGAAGGGCAUCUUGCCAAUGACACAUCCGAAGAUAGAAGCAAUCUCCUCAGUCUUUGCAGUUUCACAAUUGAUUGGUAUGAGCGUUGAUUUGUGAAAGUUUAUUUUCAACCCAAUGGAUGUGGCAUAAUUGGUCAGAAUAUCCUUGAUGACAGUCGCUUGUUGUGUGCAUGCAGGUAAUACCAGGAUUGUAUCAUCAGCAUAUUGAAUCACCGACUACUCUUUUGAUACGAGGAUGGAAACGACAGAUGAAUUAGGUUACGUGCAAAAGCAUCAUUAAUGGCAGCUUGGAGGAGGUCUGCCACCAGAACGAAAAUGAGGGGGGAAAGAGGGCUCCCCUGUAUGACCCCACACUUGCAAUGAAAUUGACGGCCAGGAGUUCCAUUGAGGAGGACCGAUGAUUUGCCUGAAGAAAAGAUGCACCGAAUCCAGCUUAGCCAUUUGUCAUUGAAUCCCAUGUUUUUCAUAAUCUCAAUCAUAGCUUCAUGCUCAAUAGUGUCAAAGGCUUUGGCAAAGUCUAGCUUGAGGAGCAUGAUUUCUUUUUUACAAGAUUGGCAUUGAUAUAUGUAUCCGUAUGCCCACGCAAGACAAUCUUGGAUAGUCCUUCCCUUCAGAAAACCAUAUUGGUUUCGAUGCACGAUCUUCAAAAUAAAAUUUUUGAAGCCUAUUGGCCAAGAUCUUUGUGACGACUUUGAGACAAAAAUUUAACAAUGUGAUCAGUCUAUAGUCAUUAAUAGUUUCAAGAGAGCCUACUUUUGGAAUGAGAGUGAUGAAGCCUUCAUUAAUGCUUUCCAAAUUUAGCUCACCGUUGUGGAAUUGAUUGCAGGUUAUAAAAGUCUUCUUUAAUAAUUGGCCAGCAUCUUUUUAAGAAAAGACCAGUAAAACCGUCUAGCCAAGGGCUCUCUCUGCAGGCAUUUCUCUAAUAACUUUGUCAAUCUCAUCAUGGGUAAAAGGGAGGGUUAGGUCGUCAAGCCCUUCAAAAUUUUCAAUGAUUCUAGCAAGAUCAAACUUCAUGUUGCAUGGUUGUGAAGAUCCCAUCCUUUCUUUGAAAGUUUGAAAUAUGAUGGAUUCCUUACCCGCAUGAUAUUCAACAGUUCUGCCGUCACUGAUCGCCAAAGAAGCUAUAUUAUUCCUUCUAUAUCGCUCCAAAGCCAUGGCUUGAAAGAACUUUGAUGGCUCAUCUCUGAAUUGGACCCAUCUAAUUGUACAUAUAUUUUUCCAAUAGAGUUGUUGAUAUCUUAGUAAUCUCAGAAUGUGAGUCUUGAGUAUUCGACGAAAGUUGGCUUCAGGUACGGUCAGAGCACGUUUAUUUUCCAAUUCAUCAAUCUCACAAAGGGCUUUAUUUGAGUUUUCAAUGGCCACCAGUAACUUGGAUAUACCCUUGCUCCAAUGUUUGAGGUCAUGUCUUAGGGUUUUUUAGUUUGCGGCAUAGAACAAUGGCAGUGUUCGCAGAGUUGACUAGUUUGGCCCAAGAUGUCUCAACGAUAUUCAUGAAGCCCGGGUGUUGAAUCCAGAAGGACUCAAAGCAAAAUAAUUUGGAUUUUGGAAUGUUUGUUUCAAUAGUAACAACAUAGGGAAUGUGGUCUGAGACAUGUUUACCUAGCGGUUUGACCAUGGUUUUAGGAUAUGAGAGAGUCCAGUUUGACCUUGUGAAGAACCAGUCAAGUUGUUCAAGUGGAGGGUAUAAUUGCAUAUUUCUCGAGGUGAAUGAAUGUCCUUUGAUAGGUAGCUCAAUUAAGCUUUGAGAGUGGAUGAAAUCAUUAAAAGUAUUCAUGUCAUUCAUGCUUCCACCUGGCUUAUUACGAUUCUCUGGUGCACGAAUAAAAUUGAAAUUUCCCAUGAACAACCAAUCUUCAGAUGAAGGAAUAUCAAGUGCACACAAACAUUAAAUAAAAUGCCCUCUCUGCUCUCCUUGGCACGGCCCAUAAACAUUGACCAACGUCCAGGUUUGCGCUGAUUGUGUGGAUCACAAACGUGUGACUAGAGCAUAGUCUUUAGAGAAUAAAACAUUCGCAGAGAAAAUCGCACUGUUCCAAAUUGUAGCAAUGCCACCAAAAGCUCCACGAGAAGGCACGAAGGUAAACUGAUCAAACCGAUGAGGACAACAAGAUUUAAUAAAGGGCAGAUCAAAAGAAGGUUUUUUAGUUUCCUGCAAGCAUACGACCGCACAACCACUAGAGGUAAUAGCAUUCGACAACGCUAAUUGUUCGUCCCCAGAGUUUAAACCACGAACGUUCCAACAUAAAACAUUCCAAUUCACCAAAAGAGGCAUUUAAAGCAGAAAAUAAAUUUGUCCAGAGCAAGGCCUAGAUCGAGGUUGAAGGUUCCUCCUCCUAAGAAUCCAGGAGCGAUUCUUCAGAGAGUUCUUCUGCAGGAAUAGCACAUAGCACAAUUCCUAUCUGUUGGAUCACUCGGACCGGCGUUGGUGGUGGAAUUUGAUCUUCUGACGCUUCCCUGAUUCUGAGAGCUGUCGGGACAGUCCUUGGCUUGACCUUGGAGACUUUCAUCUUACUGCCAGACACCUGAUGAACCUUGAAACCAUCAUACUUAUUUGAUCGAGCACUCCUACGCAGAGCAACAGAGCAUUCAGGCGCAACUGCCUUUCCUUUGCGAGAAAUAGAUGAAGAGGUCCCUCCUAUGUCAGAUGAUGGCGGUGUAGGGAAUUGGUCACCCUGCAGCUCCUCAAGAGCAGAACCGACAGGCAGAGCAACUUGAUCACCCUGCAACUCCUCAAGAAUAGAAUGGACAGGCAAAGCAACUUUAGGGUCCUGAGUAGGAACAAAUUCCUCAUCAACAUCAUCAUUGCAACCCCUCUGAGUAGCAGAUAACUCCACGGCUAGUCGAAUUCAUGGGUUCUGUCCAUAUCAACAACAGUCUUGGGGAGUUUUGUUUUAUUAAUAAAUUUUGAUUUGAUUUCGAGCAUGGAGCUGGGCAUCCUGAAUACCAGCCACUUUCUCGUGAGUGACAAGUAAAUAAACAUUCAUCAUGAGAAUAACCACCUAGCAUGGAAGAUACUGACAACCCCUAGUUGCUACAUGAGCGAUUCAGGCAUACAAAAUAGAUUAUCAUUUGAAGGUUUAGAGUUGGUCACAGGCAAAUUUACUUGAAACUGUAGGUAAAUACCGCAUAUAGGUAGGUAUGUGAUACUUCCAUUUUCCAUCAUGUUUUCCUACUGUUAUUUAUAAUGUUUUUAUGUAUAAUAAUGCUUUUGGGAGUAAUUCCAACGCCUUUUCUCUCAUAAAUUGCAUGCUUUACUCAAAGAGGGAGAAUACCAGCAGCUGGAAUUCUGGACCUGAAAAAGCAUGUCAGAGCUACCUAUUCUACACAACUCCAAAUAAGCUGAAACUUCACGGUGAUUUUUAUGGAUUAUUUAAGAAUUAUUGGAGCAAAUAACUACUAGAGGGGUCCCACCAGGUGGGCACAACUCACCUAGGCGCGCCAGGGAGCCCAGGCGCGCCCUGGUGGGUUGUGCCUUUCUCGGCCCACCUCCGGUGCCCCUCUUCUGGUAUAUAAGUCAUUUUGACCUAGAAAAAAAAUAAGAAGUGGACUUUCGGGAUGAAGCACCGCCGUCUCGAGGCGGAACUUGGGUAGGAGCACUUUUGCCCUCCGACGGAGUGAUUCCGCUAGGGGAACUUCCCUCCUGAAGGGGGAAAUCAUCAUCAUUGUCAUCACCAACAACUCUCCCAUCUUUGGGAGGGCCAUAUCCAUCAACAUCUUCAACAACACCAUCUCCUCUCAAACCCUAGUUCAUCUCUUGUGUUCAAUCUUUGUACCAAAACCUUAGAUUGGUGCUUGUGGGUGACUAGUAGUGUUGAUUACAUCUUGUAGUUGAUUAUUAUAUGGUUUAUUUGGUGGAAGAUUAUAUGUUCAUAUCCAUUAUGCUAUUUAAUACCCCUCUGAUCUUGAGCAUGAUUAUUAUUUUUGAGUAGUUACUUUUGUUCUUGAGGUCACGUGAGAAGUCAUGUUGCAAGUAAUCAUGUGAGCUUGAUAUGUGUUCGAUAUUUUGAUGAUAUGUAUGUUGUGAUUCCCUUAGUGGUGUCGUGUGAAUGUCGACUACAUGGCACUUCACCAUAUUUGGGCCUAAGGGAAUGCAUUGCGGAGUAGUUAUUAGAUGACGGGUUGCUAGAGUGACAGAAACUUAAACCCUAGUUUAUGCGCUACUUUGUAAGGGACAGAUUUGGAUCCAAAAGUAUAAUGCUAUGGUUAGAUUUUAUCUUAAUACUUUUCUCGUAGUGUCGGAUGCUUGCGAGAGGGUUAAUCAUAAGUAGGAAGUUUGUUCAAGUAAGAACAACACCUAAGCACCGACCCCCACACAUAUCAAAUUGUCAAAGUAGCAAACACUAAUUAACCCAACAUGAUGAAAGUGAUAUGAUGAAAUUCCCGUGUACCCUCAAGAACGCUUUGCUUAUCAUAAGAGACCGUUUUGGUCUUUCCUUUGCCUCAAAAGGAUUGGGCUACCUUGCUGAACUUUUGUUACCAUUACCGUUACUUGCUUGUUACAAAUUAUCUUGCUAUCAGACAAUCUGUUACCUACAAUUUCAGUGCUUGCAGACAUUACCUUGCUCAAAACCACUUGUCAUUUCCUUCUGCUCCUCGUUGGGUUCGACACUCUUACUUAUCGGAAGUCUACGAUUGGUCCCCUAUACUUGUGGGUCAUCAAGGCUCUUUUCUGGCGCUGUUGCCGGGGAGUGAAGCGCUCUUGGUACUUGGAAAUUGGUAAGGGAAAAUUAUUACUAUGUGCUGAAAUUUAUUGUCACUUGUUACUAUGGAGAAUCAUCAUUUGAGGGGUUUGUUAGGGGCAUCUUCACCUCAACCGGAACCACAAUUACUUGCCCCUCAACCUAAUGCACCUACUGAAAAUAUUGGUUAUGAAAUUCCUUCGGGUAUGAUAGAACAACUGCUAGCUAAUCCUUAUGCAGGAGAUGGAACUGAACAUCCUAACAUGCACUUGAUAUAUGUCGAUGAAAUUUGUGAAUUAUUUAAGUUUGCAAGUUUUCCCGGAGAUGAAGCUAAGAAGAAGGUUUUCCCUUUAUCUUUGAAGGUAAAAGCAUUGGCAUGGUAUAGUCUAUGUGAUGAUAUUGGAUCUUGGAAUUGGAAUCGAUUGAAAUUGGAAUUUCACCAAAAAAUUAUCCUAUGCAUCUAGUUCACCGUGAUUGGAAUUAUAUGGAUAAUUUUUGGCCUCGUGAAGGAGAAAGUAUCGCUCUAGCUUGGGGGAAGCUUAAGUCAAUGUUAUAUUCAUGCCCCAAUCACGAGCUCUCAAGGGAAAUUAUCAUUAAGAAUUUUUAUGCUCGGCUUUCUCAUGAUGAUUGAUCCAUGCUCGAUACUUCUUGUACUAGUUCUUCUCUGAAGAAGACUAUUGAAUUCAGGUGGGAUCUUUUAGGAAGAAUUAAAUGCAACUCUGAAGAUUGGGAACUCGAGAAGGUAAAGAGUCAGGUAUUAAACUUGAAUUUGAUUGCAUUAAAUCUUUUAUGAAUACCAAUGAUUUUCACAAGUUUAGCACUAAAUAUGGACUUGACUCUGAGAUAUUAGCCUCCUUUUGUGAAUCAUUUGCUACUCAUGUUGAUCUCCCUAAGGAGGAGUGGUUUAAAUAUCACCCACCUAUUAAAGAAGAAAUUAAAGAACCCAUCAUUGCUAAACAUGAAACUAUUAUUUACAAUGUUGAUCCAGUUGUGCCUACUGCUUAUAUUGAAAAACCACCUUUCUCUGUUAGGAUAAAGGAACAUGCUAAGGUUCAACUGUGGUUCGCAAUAGUUAUAUUAGAGCACCUAAACCUGAUGAACAAAUUAAAGUAGAACCUAGCGUUGCUAUGGUUAAAGAUCUCCUGGUAGAAAAUAUUGAUGGGCAUGUUAUUUAUUUAUGUGAUGAAGCUACUAGAAUUGCCAAACCGGAUGAAAAAGAUAAAUAUAGACCUGUUGUUGGCAUGGAUGAAAAAGAUAAAUAGGAGAUCAUUGCUAUCAUGGCUUAUGUGAUUUAGGUGCUAGAGUGAGUGCUAUUCCUUUUACCUUAUAUCAAGAAAUUAUGAAUGAUAUAACACCCGCUGAAAUAGAAGACAUAGAUGUUACUAUUAAACUUGCUAAUAGAGACACCAUCACACCACUUGGGAUUGUUAGAGAUGUUGAAGUCAAAUACCCUGCUGAUUUUCUAGUUCUUGGUUCCCCACAAGAUGAAUUUUGUCCCAUUAUCUUUGGUAGACCUUUCUUGAACACCGUUAAUGCUAAAACAGAUUGUGAGAAACAAACUGUCGGUGUUAGUUUUGGUGAUGAGUCUCAUGAGUUUAAUUUUUCCAAGUUUAAUAUACAACCUCACAAGAAAGAAUUACCUAGUAAGGAUGAAAUAAUUGGUCUUGCUUCUAUUGUCGUGCCUCCUACUGAUCCACUAGAACAAUAUUUGCUAGACCAUGAAAAUGAUAUGCAUUUGAAUGAAAGAAAUGAGAUAGAUAGAAUUUUCUUUGAACAACAACCUAUGCGCAAAUAUAAUUUGCCUAUUGAAACUCUAGGAGGUCCUCCUCCACCUUAAGGUGAUCUUGUGUUUGAAUUGAAGCAAUUGCCUGACACUUUGAAAUAUGCUUAUCUUGGUGAGAAAAAGAUAUAUCCUAUUAUUAUUAGUGCUAAUCUUUCAGAACAUGAAGAAGAAAGAUUAUUGAAAGUUCUGAAGAAGCACCGUACUGCUAUUGGAUAUACUCUUGAUGAUCUUAAGGGCAUUAGUCCCACUCUCCGUCAGCACAUGAUUAAUAUGGAACCCGAUGCUAAACCCGUUGUUGAUCAUCAACGAUGCUUGAAUCCCAAAACGAAAGAAGUGGUAAGAACUGAAAUAUUAAAGCUUUUGGAAGCAGAUAUAAUCUAUCCCAUAGCUGAUAGUAGAUGGGUAAGUCAUGUUCAUUGUGUCCCUAAGAAAGGAGGUAUUACCAUUGUUCCUAAUGAUAAAAAUUAACUUAUUACACGAAGAAUUGUUACUGGCUAUAGGAUGGUAAUUGAUUUCUGAAAAUUAAAUAAAGCAACUAGAAAAGCCCAUUACCCCUUGCCUUUUAUUGAUCAAAUGCUAGAAAUAUUAUCAAAGCACACACACUUUUGCUUCCUUGAUGGAUAUUCUUUUUUUUCUCAAAUACCUGUUUCACAACCUAAUCAAGAUAAAACCACCUUUACUUGCCCUUUUGGAACCUAUGCUUAUAGACGUAUGCCUUUUGGUUUAUGCAAUGCACCUGCUACUUUUCAUUUUUUCCAAAGAUGUAUGAUUGCUAUAUUCUCUGAUUUUUGUGAAAAUAUUAUUUAGGUUUUCAUGGAUGAUUUUUCUGUUUAUGGAACUUCUUUUGAUGAUUGCUUAAGCAACCAUGAUAGAAUUUUGCAAAGAUGUGAGCAAACUAAUCUUGUCUUGAAUUGGGAGAAGUGCCACUUUAUGGUUAAGGAAGGUAUUGUCUUGGGCCAUAAAAUUUCUGAACGAGAUAUUGAGGUGGAUAAAGCUAAAGUCGACGCAAUUGAGAAAAUGCCAUGUCGGAGAGAUAUCAAAAGUAUUCAUAGUUUCCUUGGUCAUGCUGGUUUCUAUAGGAGGUUUAUUAAAGACUUCUCUAAAAUUUCUAGGCCUCUUACAAAUCUUUUACAAAAGGAUGUUUGAUGAUGAUUGUGUAGAAGCCUUUGAAACACUUAAGAAAGCCUUAACUUAUGCACAUAUUGUUCAACUACCUGACUGGAACUUGCCUUUUGAAAUUAUGUGUGAUGCUAGUGAUUAUAUUGUUAGUGUUGUUCUAGGACAAAGAGUUGGUAAGAAACUAAAUGUUAUUCAUUAUGCUAGCAAAACUCUAGACAGUGCCCAAAGAAAUUAUGCUACUACUGAAAAAGAAUUUUUAGCAGUUGUGUUUGCUUGUGACAAAUUUAGAUCUUACAUUGUUGAUUCCAAAGUUAUUAUUCACACCAAUCAUGCUGCUAUUAAAUAUCUUAUGGAAAAGAAAGAUGUAAGCCUAUGCUCAUUAGGUGGGUUAUCCUACUACAAGAAUUUGAUUUACAUGUAACUAAUAGAAAAGGAGUCGAGAACCCCGUAGCUGAUAACUUGUCUAGGUUAGAGAAUAUCCUUGAUGACCCACUACCUAUUGAUGAUAGCUUUCCUGAUGAACAACUAGCUGCAAUAAAUGUUUCUCGUAAUACUUCUUGGUAUGCUGACUAUGCUAAUUAUAUUGUUGCUAAAUACAUACCACCUAGUUUCACAUACCAACAAAAUAAAAAGUUCUUCUAUGAUUUAAGACAUUACUUUUGGGAUGACCCACAUCUUUAUAAAGAAGGAGUAGAUGGUAUUAUUAGACAUUGUGUACCUGAGCAUGAACAGGAACAAAUCCUACAGAAAUGUCAGUCUGAAGCUUACGAAGGCCAUCAUGCGGGAGAUAGAACUGCUCACAAGGUAUUGCAAUCUGGUUUUUAUUGGCCUACUCUCUUCAAGGAUGCCCAUAAGUUUGUUUUAUCUUGUGAUGAAUGUCAAAUAAUUUGUAGUAUUGGUAAGCAUCAAGAAAUGCCUAUGAAUUAUUCACUUGUUGUUGAACCAUUUGAUGUUUGGGGUUUUGAUUAUAUGGGGCCUUUUCCUUCCUCUAAUGGGUAUACACAUAUUUUGGUUGCUGUUGAUUAUGUUACUAAGUGGGUACAAGCUAUUCCAACUAGUAGUGUUGAUCAUAACACUUCCAUUAAAAUGCUUAAAGAAGUUAUUUUCCCAAGGUUUGGAGUCCCUAGAUAUUUAAUGACUGAUGGUGGUUCACACUUUAUUCAUGGUGCUUUCCAUAAAUGCUUGCUAAAUAUGAUGUUAACCAUAGAAUUGCAUCACCCUAUCAUCCUCAAGCUAGUGGUCAAGUUGAACUUAGCAAUAGUGAAGUAAAACUAAUACUACAAAAAAAAUGUUAAUAGGUCCCAAUAGAAAUGGUCUAAGAAGUUAGAUGAUGCACUUUGGGCCUACCGAGCAACAUAUAAAAAUCUUAUGGAUAUGUCUCCCUACAAAAUGGUCUAUGGAAAAGCUUGUCAUUUGCCUCUUGAGUUAGAACAUAAAUCAUAUUGGGCAAUUAAAGAACUCAACUAUGAUUUCAAACUUGCCAGUGAAAAGGGGUUAUUUGAUAUUAGCCCACUAGAUGAAUAGAGAACCUAAUCUUAUGAAUAUGCCAAGUUGUUUGAAGAAAAAGUUAAAAGAUGGCAUGAAAAAAGAAUCCAAAAGAGAGAAUUCAAAGUUGGAGAAUAUGUUCUAUUGUACAACUCUUGUUUCGGGUUCUUUGUAGGGAAACUUCUCUCUAAAUGGGAAGGACCAUAUAUCAUUGAAGAGGUUUAUUGCUCUGGAGCUAUCAAAAUAAGUAAUGCCAAAGGCACUAACCCGAAGGUGUUCAAUGGGCAAAUAAUUAAACACUAUGUCUUAGGUACGCCUAUUAAUGUUGAAAGCAAUAUUAUUCAAACCAUGACACCUGAGGAACACGUAAAGGAGACCUUCCAAAACACUCUAGAAUAAUUAAAAAAGGAGGAGGUACGUGAUACCGUAAGUAAAUGGACUCCAAAAAAUCCGCAAAAAUAUUUUCUGUCAGUUUUGGAAUAUAUUAAAAAUUAAGAAAAUAAGAAACAACCAGGAAGGCACCCGAGGAGGGCACAAUACACCAGGGUGCGCCAAGGCCCCCUAGCACGCCCAGGUGGGUUGUGCCCACCUCGGGAACCUUCCCGACUCCGUUUUCCUCCCGUUUGCUUGUUUCCCAAGAUAAAAAAUCUUUAUAUACCCCCCGAACGUAUUGGUCACUGUAUCGCGGAGAAAUCUCAUGUUCUUCUUUCUUGCUGUUUUCUGUCAGGAUUCUCAAAGCCAGGCAUCAUGUCUUCUCCCUCCAACAACGUAGAAGAAGAUGCUUGGGUGAUGAAGAUGCACUACUAUAGGAUGCUGCUAACGUGACACUACGAUCAAAUACCCUUUGACGAAACUGUGUGUGAUACAUUAAUCGCAAACGGUGAUGUAAAAAAACCAUCAAAAAAGAUGCAAAACGUUUGCGAUGGCGGAUACAUUGAACAUGAUUCAGAUUUUAGUUGCAUGUGCAAUGCGGGCCAUACAGUUCAGUUCAAUGAACUGUUUGCGAUGAGGCAGAAGAACAGAAAUGGGAAGCCAGAUGCAGGCACGUGCGAUAUACGACAUACCAUUCAGUCGGAUUAACUAUUUGUGAUGAGGCGGAACAACAUAAAUGGGCAGCCAGAUGAAGGUGUGUGUGAUAUACGGCAUACAAUUCACUCAGAUUAACUGUUUGUGAUUAGGCAACACAACAGAAACGGUCAACCAGGUCUUGGUGUGUGUGAUAUACGACAAACAGGUUCCUAACCAGAAAUGUGUGAAGACCCAUAAUAACAUAGACAAUUUCUGCUAAUAAGUCGUGUGUGUUGUGGGAAAACGUUUGCUGGUAUACGAUUGUCAGUGAUUAAUGAAUUCAUCACCGACAGGUUUCCUAGUAUGGUCUGUGUGCGUUGUCAUUGCAUACAGAAGAACAAUAUAUGUACUUGUAAGGAUUUGAUUCCAUAACCAAAUUGAACAUCCAAUUACAUAGGUGGCUAGUAGACACAUGACCUUGGCACACACCAAAGUAUGUUAAAAAAUACCCAGAAAAUUCAAACAAUGCAUAAAAAGCAAAACGAACGCUGAAUAAUUUCAUAUUUCUUAGGACGACACUCCUGUAGUUGCAUGUUGCCUUUGAAAAUAAAUCAAGGCGGGAAAAAACAUCGUAUGUCAUUUCGCACACAUAUAGGUGACAAGUUCCCUCUCGGAACCAUGAGGCUUCUUGAGAGAAGCUCCAGUUUGUAAGAAGUUUAUACCAAAACUUGUCCCAAAUUGGACUAUUUUUUACCAUAGCAUGUUGGUGCCAUGUCAUAACACCAUGUGAUGUUUCAUGAUUUUGAGGCGAGUUUUGGAUUUGCAGUAAUUUUAAAACCAGGUUUCUCAAUGUUUACUGUCGAGCCAGCACCGCCCUGGAUAGGCUUUUUUCUCGUGGGUCCCAAAUGUCAGAAUCCAAAUCUGCCACUACCAUGCAACUUCUACUAUUAAGAAUUACACCCUAUUGGGUGUGCUAGCUGAAAAAUAAGUUUGGUGGGUGCAGGCGGGCACUAAGAACUUGCGGGUUCUUUAAUGAACAAAGAUCAACGCCUAGUAUGAAAGAAAACAUGGGUCAAACCCUAGUUGAAAAGGGCAACAAUGUCUAACUCCAGCUUAGAAAAGGUACAAAAGCACAAGGGUUAAUUGUUCAUCAGGUUUACACAUAACCCGGAUUGAACACGGCAAUAACAUCUAACUCAACCAAAGUUUUUGGCAGUCACAAUCAAAUGGAUCGGUCCGAUCCAUAAAAUCAAGAUCCCGGUAAAAAAGAUCUACUCGUCCAUGAUGAUGACAAGUUGUUGUGAAUAUAAGCCGAACACGAUCAGAAGCCCUUAGGUCCACCUGAAACUUCUUUUUAUGUUGUCCAACAUACAGUUCCGUGAGAAAUUUCUUGUUGAAAAACUUAUUCCUCAGGGACAAUAGUGCCCUCGCAUUCCUCAUGAAGAAUGUGAAAAAGCCAGUGUUUAGAUGGAUGGAUGCAUAUCCUUCCACCAUUAUUGUCUUCAAACGAAUGUCAUGAGAUCUGAGAAAAUCCUUGUGCUUCCUCUGUCAUCGAUUGGUUAGAACUUUUUCUCAAAGUCCUAAUACCUAAAUUGACAUGAAGAUUGAAAACAGUUAAUGUCUAAAAUAGAGUAUGUCGAAGGAGCGAUAGCUGAACGGUUAAUUCUAGUACAUUACAUAUGGGCUUUCAAUGUGUGUUAAAUCAUCACUUUUAUAUACAAAUUCUCCAGACAUGGAAAGCAUCGCAGCAAGCCAAUAGUGGUGUUCAGAUCAAGACACCCUAUAUAAAUAUAUAAGGUCUUGACAGCAUCUAGCACCCCUAAUACACCAUCUAUGGACAGGCUCUUCAUUUAGCAUAGAACAUAAUAUUAGCACCGAAAGUGUACUCCAAGAUGAUAUUUAACUUAUGCGCACAAAUGAAAACUAUAGAUUACUAAAGUGUACAUGGAUAACAUACAGUACCUGAACAAGUGUGGAGCCAACCACCAACUUGUAAGAUUCAAACGGAUGAGGAAGUACACCCAAGGUCUCCAGUUUAGGGGCAGAGACAACAGUUAUUUGUGAAGGUUUAUAACAACAAUCAAGGAGCAACCUUUGAAGUGAAGGGGCAUCUUCGAUGAUGAGCUCUUGUCCUUCAAAAUGAAUUCCAAUGCUUACAAGGUGAGGCGAAUUUAUUUUGAGACAAGGGAUAUAGAUUCCUAGUCCAAAAACAAGGACAAAAUGCUCCAGUGCAGGGCAGCUGGAGUGGAUGAUGCUAUGAAGUGAGGCCACCGACAGAUCAACCAACCCAAGCACAAGUUUUUUCAGAAGUGGGAGUCGAAGCAUUUGUACCAAAUUGUCUGCUAGAUGGCACCGGGUCAAGGUGGCGGUGUGGAGAGAGGAGGAAAACCAUGAGAUGGGCAUCGGUGGUGAGGGCACAGAUGCAACUCUUGGUGGUAACCUAUCGCGUAGUAAUGGUAGAACUCAAGCUGCUGAAGUUUAUCGAAUUUAUGUGAUGUCAGCCAGGCGGCCACCAUGCAGGGUAUGUCUAGCAGGUAGCAUGCCGGGAUGCAGAUGCAUUGAAUGGAGCCCUGGUGGGAGGAGAUGAUGGUUCCGGGGAGUUCAAAAUCAUCAUUGACAGAUAGCUCACGACUGUCGAGAUUAAGAGGCACGGUGCACCAAGAGUGUGCCACCGAGAUGCGAAGACUUAUGUGAGGCAGCCAUCCUUGGCAGGGAGAAGAGAUAUGAUCUCCCCAAGGAUGCCGUCUGGGAGAUCGCUGAUGCGGUCCGCCAGAGAUUCUAUUGGUUUCUCAGGUCCAAGGGCGUGGCCGCUUUUGGCCGCGCAGCCGGGUCCAAGAUCUACAUCCGGCGGUGGCGCUGGCCGGAGCCUCAUCUGUGUACAUACCAAUCUAAAAGAAAAAAAUGGCAGAAACAUACAUGUAGGACAUUCAAAAUCAAUUCUCAAGAUCUGGAAGAAAAAAAGGCACAAACAUAUAUGUAGUACAUUCAAAACCAGUUCUCAAGAUUUGGUCACGAAUUAUUAGCACGCAAGCUAACCCUAGUCGGAUUAUUAGCAAAAAUCAUUUGUACAGAACAAACAAUUAAUCACUAACUCUAUACAGAUAACAUUCAAACAAUGAAUACACUACAUGAAUCUAACGGAUCUUAAUUACUCCGAUUUCAUGAACUGAGAGAGCAUAACCAUAGGAUUUGGUAUUCCAAAAAANNNNNNNNNNNNNNNNNNNNNNNNNNNNNNNNNNNNNNNNNNNNNNNNNNNNNNNNNNNNNNNNNNNNNNNNNNNNNNNNNNNNNNNNNNNNNNNNNNNNNNNNNNNNNNNNNNNNNNNNNNNNNNNNNNNNNNNNNNNNNNNNNNNNNNNNNNNNNNNNNNNNNNNNNNNNNNNNNNNNNNNNNNNNNNNNNNNNNNNNNNNNNNNNNNNNNNNNNNNNNNNNNNNNNNNNNNNNNNNNNNNNNNNNNNNNNNNNNNNNNNNNNNNNNNNNNNNNNNNNNNNNNNNNNNNNNNNNNNNNNNNNNNNNNNNNNNNNNNNNNNNNNNNNNNNNNNNNNNNNNNNNNNNNNNNNNNNNNNNNNNNNNNNNNNNNNNNNNNNNNNNNNNNNNNNNNNNNNNNNGUGAUGGAAACCUCUGUUCCUAGCUUCACACGUUGCGUGGGUGCUUCACCAGCCCCGUCGUCGCUACUCCCUCCGUUGGUGCGCUUCGGCGGCAUCCUCAUACAAUCCAGAGUCCAUACAUUGCUGACCACUAUGGACCAGGGGUGCGGCCGCCUAUUAUGGCCGGCGGCUCGGGCAUGCAAUUAAUCUGGACCCGUAGGAGCGAGAUAGGCGGUGGUGAAAAGUUGUCUCGCCUCCCGGUGAGCCUGCACGACGGAAUUCUUCCAUUCCUACCAUCAUUUCACACAACUACUCGCACGCCUCCCAUCAAUACGCACACCUGCACACAUGCCUCCCGAUAUGCCUACGCGGCGGACUGCUCGCAUGGGUCCUAUCAACUCAUGCCUGCUCGCAUGGCACACAGGGCGUGUGGCAGCACACAUAUUUUUUGGUUUAUUGAUGAUUCAUUCUGCCGCUUUACCGCUUAACUUAAGCAUGGCACGGUCUAACGCACAUGGUCUGAAUAAAUAAUCCAUAUGAGAUAUUUGUUGUCAGUUUUUAAUAAUCUCCCGUUUGUAAGAAGAUUAUAUUAAAACGAGUCUCAUUGACAAAAAAAAUACAAUAUCACAGUCUAUUUGUGUCCAUAUAUGACACCACGAUAAGUUUCAUGAAUUUUAGCUAAGUUUUGUAUUUACUGGAUUUUGAAAAUAUAUAUUCUCAAUAUUUUGAAAUCUCUUGCACAGGGAAACAUGCACCUAGGGACACAGAUGAUUUUGCAACCCAUUUUGGUGCACAUGUAGCUCAAAUUUGAUUUUUGCCCAUUAAUCCCUAGGAAAUCAAUCAAUGCAUAAAAAUGGUCGAAUGAUGUCUGUUUUUUAAAUUUUAACAUGACACUCCGCCUUUGGUCACAUGUUCACUGCAUAAAAAAAUUUGAUAUGCCUCAGAGUGGCUGUGGUGGUGCGGGAUGUGUGUGUCUGUGUGUGUGGGGGGUGGGGGGGAGGGGUCCGGCAGUACACUAUGAGUCGUGAACCUCCCUGUGGGAUUAUUGAUCAUUUUGUGAGUCAUAUAUGCCACAUCAAAGUCAUGAAUUGGUUAUUUAAAGCUUUACAUAGCCCUUUCAUACAUAAUGUUCGGGACACACGCAUGCAUUGGUGGUCCUCUCGGACACUCUCCCUAGUGCGGUUAUCAGUGACGUGCCCAUUUGUUAGCCCACAAAGGUUCUCAGUUUCCACCGACAACGAGAGGUAUUUGACCAAAAGGUGGAUUUAUCUUGGCAUGUGUGUGGUGUGGAUCAUGGUGGGAUUCCAUAUCGAAGUUCAAGAACAUGCAUACACACUCCCACCAGCUUGAAGUGAGGGGCUACACGCAUCGUGGUGUAGUGCGUUUCUGGUUUGCGAAGCAUGUGCCACGUCAAAGUUGUGCAUUGGGUAUUCAAACAUCACAUAACACACAGGCACAUGCAUGCGGUGGUUUUGUCCUAUGACAUCACUCGCGCGUGCCUCUCUCUGUGGGCCCACGAGGUCGUCACCGACCAGUUGAACGUACAAUGAGAGAGAGGUUAAUUUGACCAACAAGGAUGGUUCUGUCACACCCUAGCUAGUCAUGCAUUAGAGUGUUGCAUCAUGUUUAUUUUUGCAUUAGAAACCUGAAAUGGGGAUGACAGAACCCCCAGUCCCCUCUGAAACCAAUUAGGGUUUACUAAAAACUUUUCCAAUGAACCUGAAAUGCCCUUCUAAAAUGCCCAUCAUUUUUGUCUUGGUUCAGAACCUCUGCCAAAAGUGAUGCACAUUUUCCUAGGCCAUCUUAGGGUUUGUGAAUUAAAUCAUAAAUAUUUGAAUUUGGGCAUUUAAAAUUAUAUAAAAUAUUUAAAUGCUCAAAUAUCUCCAAACUAAAAUGUUUCAUGUUGGAAAUAAUCCAACUAUGGACCAGGAGUAGUUUGGUGAAUUUAGGAGUUGCCUAAGUAUUUUUAUUAAUUCAACAAAGUUGCAGAAGUAUUAAAAAACAGAAAACAGAGAAAAUAGAAAAACUUACCUGACGCCAGCUCCCGGCCCACCUGCCGGCCCAGCCCAGCGCCGCUCCAGCGAGCUGCUUGCCGGCCAGGCAGGCAGGCAGGUGCCCGACGGUGACCGCAGCGCGCGCCACGCACCUGCUCGCCGCCUCGCCGCUCCCCUCGCCCGCUGACGUCGUGGAUCGCCCUCCCUCUCUCCCCCAAACCCCCCAGACACCCCCUCUCCUCUCCAGCUCCUUCCCCUCACGCUCCCCCGCGAUGACCGACGCCACCACCGCGAUGCCUACGUCGUAGCCGUGCUCCCCGCUGCCCGUGCGUCCUCUCGUCGUGUCUAGGAGCUCCGCCGCUGUCCACUUCAACGAGCAAGCCGAGCCCCGAGCGCUCGCAACGCCCGAGUCCACCGCAACGACCUCGCCCGAACCGCCGCCGCCGGAGAUCCCCUUCAACACCGUCGUCGCUCCGGUCCAUCCCCGGCCGCAGCAAGGGCUUCGUCGCACUCACUGUGAGCUUAGCCAUCUUCCCCCCCUUCUUUUCUUGCUCCCGAGCCGUGUAGCGACCUCCCGGAGCUCAACCGCACCCACCGCCGUGGAGCUCGUCGCCGACGUGCUCCCGGUCACCCUCCGACCACUCCACGGUGUCCAUCAUGCUCACCGCGUCACGUAGCACCUAACUAGCUACUCCCCGCACCUCACCGACCCCUCUUGCGUCAAGUUCGACUUCGGCCGAACCCCGGUGGCCGCCAAAGUCGUCGCCGGCGCCAACUCCGGCCACCCCGACCCCAACGGACUCCACCAAGAGCUGCGGCUCGUCCUCAGCUCCACUCCGGUGGUCUCCGUGACCCAUUUGGUGGCCGAAACGGCCAAAACCACUUCCGCCACCGCGUCGGGCUCGCCGGCGGCUAAACGCUGGUGCAGCCGACCCGGGUUUGACCACGGGUGGGCCCUGGUUGACUCCCUGAGUCAAUGACAGGUGGGGCCCAGCCCUGUUAAUUAAACAGGUUUAGUUUUAUUUAAACUUUAAUUAAGUUAAUCACACUGACACGCGGGACCCACUGUCAGGUUUGACCCAGACGUGUCCCGUUGACCUGCUGAUGUCACACUGACGUCAGGCUGACGCAGUAAUUGAUUUUCUGGAUUUAAUCUAAUAUAGGAAAUUCCAGAAUAUAGUUUAAACUUUAAAAAUUCAUAACUUUUAUUCUGUAACUCCAAAUCAGACAAAUUAUAUAUGAAAAAUGAUAAGAAAAAUCCAAUCUAUCCAUCUGUACUAUUUUCAUGCAUGAUUAAACAAGUUAACCUGAUGUUUAAUGCAGAACAAGGAAAAACACUUUAAAGGGCCAUGUUUGAGUUUGAAAUUUGAAUCUUUGAUUCAAAUUGGUUCAAACCCUUCUGGUCUUAGUUGCAUUAGCCCAACACACUCAUAUUGCUAUGUUUCAUGCAUGCAUCAUAUUGUUGCACAUUGUUUGGUGAUGGUUGUGUAUCGAUGUUCUAUGCGGCAGGAUCUGCCUCCGAGGAGUACCGUGAUUACCCUAACGAAGAACCGUAUCAGUGCAUCGAACCAUUAGGCAAGCAACCAACCAUUUGAUCAUAUCGAUACAAUCCCAUGUUCUCGCUCCUGCUCUCUUUUACUGCAUUAAGACAACGCGUUUCAAACUGCUAUGUGCUACGGUAGUUGAACCCACUUCCUCUGCAUGACCUGUCAUUGCCACAGUAACUAGAUGAAACCCACUAGCAUGUGUAGGAGUUGAUUGAGCCAUAUGUAUGUGUUGUUCCUACCUUGCUAUGCCUGCUAUGCUUAGAGUCGUGUCAGGUCUGGUUCAUCUGGGUGAUGGGCUAGAGUGAAAUGAUUAUGUCGGUAAUGAGAGUGGUGUGGUGAACACGAGUUGGUAAAGGUAUCGAUGAGAGGCCAUGUAGGAGUACAUGGUGGGUUGUUUCAUUGAAGCCGACCUUAAGCACUGAGAUCUGUAUGUGUGAUUUAAGAUACAACUACUACCAUGCAUUGGGCCCUGAAAUAUGACCCCGCUCGACUUCUUAUUCACCCUAGUCCUCUGUCCAGGAGUUGCAAGUAGUUUCUGGUGUUUGUAGCCUACUGGAGGCCGUGGACAGCGCUGACCGUAGGGGUGGGCUGUGAUGCGGUAGGUACGUGGCCGGGUAUACCGAAUACCCGUUAGGUAUCUCGGGAACCCUGUUCACAUCGUUCGGGGCCGUAUGGGAAACCUCGGCCGGACUCCCUGCGGAUGGAACCUGGAUAUACGAUAAACCUGGACUAGGGACUUAGGUGUUUAGGUAGGUCGUGGUCUACACCCACGUCGGCUUUCGCUUGAAGUCUGCCGAGCACAUAUCGUGUGCAGACGCUAAGUGGUGGAAACAUGUAUGAAGAAGUACACCCUUGCAGGGUUAUCAUGAUCUAUUCGAAUAGCCGCGUCCGUGGUAAAGGACUACUUGGUUGCCUAUACAGUUCAUAGACAAGUAAAUGGAAACUACUAAAAGCCUCAAGAUAAGUGUGAGUGCCGAGGAUGGCUCUUCCGUAGGAAGACGGAGGUGGAUCCUCGAUAGUGUAUUGAAGUGGUGAAUAGUGGACUCGUGUACGCAAAACCAUUUCAAGUUGGAGUCUCGUAGGUUAGCCUAGCCAAGAGUCAAAGCUGGCUUGCUGCAACAACUCCACCAACCCUUCUUGAUAAUGUGCAUGUAUGUAGGAUUUGAUGUAAGUCUUGCUGAGUACCUUUGUACUCAUGUUGCUAUAAUCUACACUUUUACAGAAGACGCUGCAACCCCUUCUGAUGGGUUCUACAUAGACGUUGACAUCACUGAGUAGGCUAAGGCCCAGGUGGUGAUCCUGAGCUUGUGAAGGACCACGUAGUAUAGCUAGGCUUUCCAAGCCUCUUUUAUUUUACUAGUUGUCUGUACCCAGACAAGCUACUUCUGGUGCUGGUUUGUAUGACUGUAUGACUUGAAUGCUGGGUCGUGUGACCCAUACCUAUGUGUAUGUUAUGUAUGGCUCCCGGAGCCUUAAAUAAAGUACUUGUGUCAUAGAGUCAUGUUGUGAUGCCAUGUUGUAUUUGCACAUAUCGAGCAUAUUGUGUGUAUGUUAUUGAAAUGCUUGGUAUGUGUGGGAUCUGACUAUCUAGUUGUUUAUCUUUAGUAGCCUCUCUUACCGGGAAAUGUCUCCUAGUGUUGCCGCUGAGCCAUGGUAGCUUGCUACUGCUCUGGAACACUUAGGCUGGCCGGCAUGUGUCCUUCUUCGUUCCUGUGUCUGUCCCUUCGGGGAAAUGUCACGCAUUGAGUACCGGAGUCCUGUUAGCCCGCUACAGCCCGGUCUACCGGAGUCCUGCUAGCCCAGUGCUACAGCCCGGACCCACUUGCUGAUGACCGACACAAUCGAAGCUGGGUCAUGGAUGCCUGUCCCUGUAAGCCUGUGCCACUUUGGAUUUACGACUAGUCAUGUCAGCCCGGGCUCCUUAUCAUAUGGAUGCUAGCGACACUAUCAUAUACGUGAGCCAAAAGGCGCAAACGGUCCCGGGAAAAGGUAAGGCGACACCCGUGGGAAUACCGUGCGUGAGGCCGCAAAGUGAUAUGAGGUGUUACAAGCUAGAUCGAUGUGACAUCGAGUCGGGGUCCUGACAGCGUUGGCAUCAGAGCCGGACUGCCUGUAGGUUCUCCAAGCCAAACUGGUCGAUGUUGAGUCUAGAAAUUCUUUAGUUAUAUGUAGGGGAAUUGUUUGUGGGUUGGAACGUAAGGCUCUUUUUACUCCUUUAUCUUAUGACAUUCUGAUCUGAGUCAGUCUAUUCUUCCACCGGGGGUUAAGGAAUUAGGAUCUAUUCUCUCUAUCAGGAUCACGUGUUACUAAUCAGUAGUACCUUAUAGGUUUGAUGAAUACAAGCCUAGUUCAGUUCUACUACCACAUUAUGUUGCUAGGAUGGACUCAGAAUUUGAUAUGAUGAUGUUGAGGUGUAUGAAAUCCUUUGUCAAAUGUCUCAAAAUCCUUCUUGAGCAUUUACAGCUGUUAUGCUGCCGAAAUUUUUCUAGAAAUUCUAAUGCCUUUGCAUUAUGGUUGUGCUUUUAGAUGGCCACUCGCGACCUCAAUCAAGUGGUUCGCCUGACUUGAUGCCUAGAUGUACCCGGCCAUACCGCCAUGUUGGUCAGGGUAAUGACUGAGGCUGGAUACCGUUGGUAUCCUGAGUACACGGUCGAAGAGCAAUUUCGGGACUUUAAUCAAAGCCAGUAUCUCUGCACUGUCAGAAUAUUUCCAUCUUAUCCUGGAUCCACCGAGCCCCUUCACUGCUCCUAUGGACUUGGGGUUACUAUUGAGAUGGCUGUGCAGGACGCCGCCUACUCUAUGAUGACCAUCAUGCGAGUCAGGUCCGGCCUAUUUCGGGACUCUGAUUUCCGGUAUAUGCCAGGAUCACUCCCGGGAGCACAAGGGUAUCUCCAGGCUAUCUAUGCUGACCCCACUCAGGAGGAUUCACGGACUCGCACCACUACUGAGAUGCUCGAGGAUAAGGACCGUGAAAAUCGGGCCUUGAGGCUAGAGCUUUUCAAUACCCAUGCUGACCAUUGGGCCACGUUGACUCGGUUUGCACCGGCGGUGCAAGCUGGAUAUUCGGAUAUGCGUGAUCUCUAUCCUGUGAGAUCUGCUCUGCCAGACGUGAUGGGUUGGCGUGAUGUAGGAGGCAUCACCCCACCUCGCGGUCCCCGCAGGCCACCAUCUGUUGGUCCAAGACCUCAUCCUGGUCCCUAUGGUCCACAAGCUCCGCGAGAUCGUCUGUUUCCGGAUGAUCAUGUUGAGCUUCCAGGCUAUGGAGGUGAUUUCUAUGAGGACUACUACGGAUCGGUCUGAGUUAGUGGUAGUAUCACUAGUUCGUACUAGCUGUGUCGUCUAUCGUCCUGCGUGACUCGUGGGAUAUGACCUAGUUUGUACCGCUUCCGGAGAUGUAGAAAAAUAAUGUAUAGGAGCUUGGGAUGCCUCCGAUGAGAUGUAAUCCUCUUUUCACCGCAAUAGUACCUUGUUUGGUCUUGUACUAAACCUUGUAUGGUGUGUAUGACGAUGGAAUAAAAGAAGCAGUUUCUGUAUUUACCAUGUCAUACGGAUGAUCAUCUCGCAUUCCGAGUUAUUCCUUACAUUCUGUAUUCUAUGUCGGAAUUUUAUCAUUCUGACUAAAUCAUUGUCUUGUUUACCUAGGAUGGUCAACACGCGCACUAACCCUACUCCUCAAGAGAAGGCCGAAGGCAGUGAAGUCAGGAAUGCAAAUAUGCCUCAUCCUCCUUCCCUAGCCGAGGUUAUGAUGGAAGCUGAGAGAAAUAAGCGGGAGACCAACCGUUUGUUGGAGCGUAUUGAACAGAACACAGCACACCAUCAGAGGACUAACGUGGUGUCACUCAGUGACUUCAUCAAGUUACAUCCACCCACGUUCCACCACUCCGUCGAGCCUCUCGACGCUGAUGACUGGCUUCGCAGUAUUUCUCACAAACUGCGUUCCGCGCUAGUAGCUGAGGCUGACAAGGUCACCUUUGCUGCAUAUCAUCUUGAAGGCCCCGCCAGUCUAUGGUGGGAGAAUUAUGGAGCUAUGCGCCCAGCAGGCCAUGUCACUACCUGGGCUGAAUUCAGCGAGGCUUUCCGUGAACAUCACAUUCCGGAGGGUCUCAUGGACCAUAAACGUGAGGAAUUUUGCAAUUUCACCCAAGGCCAACUCUCUGUGGAUGCUUACAACAGGGAGUUUGGUAACCUCGCACGAUAUGCCACUGAGGAAGUUUCUACCGAUGCCAAGAAGCAAGCAAGGUUCCAUAAGGGGCUUAGUCCUGAGCUUCGCCGCGACCUCCGUCUGCAUGAGUGCACAUCCUUUCAGAAACUUGUUAACAAGGCCAUCAGUGCUGAGACUGGUCAGACUGAUUAUGACGCAACACGCAAGCAUGGCCGUGACAUGGGCUCCUCAUCCGGUGCUGGUCCUCAGAAGCGCCGCGUGUGGGUGCCUAACACCGCCCUGCCACCCAGGUUCACACCGAGGCCAUCCUUCCAGGCGCCUCGCCCUGUUCAACAGUCUGCACCAGCCAAGCCCUAUGGUGGUCCAACCAACAGUGCUCCUCCACGUACUAGUUCCGUGACUUGUUUCAAGUGUGGGGAAUCUGGCCACUAUAUGCGUGAGUGUCCCCAGACCAACCCCAACCAAUCUGCUAAAGCUGUUGGCCGUGGCAAGCCGACAGGGAAAGUGUUCCACGCCAAGCCGACCACCGCUACACGUGGCCAUGUCAACUGUAUCUCUGCCGAAGAAGCUCAAGAGGAUCCCAACGUCGUUCUCGGUACGCUCCUUGUUAAUUGCCACCCGGCAUCUGUUCUUUUUGAUACAGGAGCCUCUCAUUCAUUUAUAUCCGAGAACUAUGCUCGUUUUCAUAACACCGCAUUCUGUGACAUGCCAUCCACUAUGGAAAUUUCUACUCCCGGUUCUAGAUGGAAAACCUCCAGGGUAAGUUAUGGAAAUGAAAUCCAAGUCGACAGACUUGUUUUCCUUGCAUCUUUGAUAGCUCUCAAAUUUUCAGAUAUUAAUAUCAUUUUGGGUAUGGACUGGAUGUCAGCUCAUCAUGCCAAAAUUGAUUGCUUCUCUAGGACUGUUCAACUCACUCAUCCUUCGGGGAAGAUAGUCAAUGUCUUGACCCGAAUAGCCAAGCGACAGUUAUAUUCUCUUAACGCCAGCCCUUUGCCAGACCUUGAGGAUGUUCCGGUAGUCCGUGACUUCCCGGAUGUCUUCCCAGAGGAAUUGCCAGGUGUUCCACCUGACAGGGAUGUGGAGUUCGUAAUAGACCUUAUUCCAGGAACCGUCCCGAUUGCUAGAAGACCCUAUAAGAUGGCACCAUUAGAACUAGCCGAGCUUAAGAAACAACUCGAUGAGUCCUUGAAAAAGGGUUUCAUCCGACCUAGUUCAUCUCCGUGGGCUUGCCCCGUCCUCUUCGUCAAGAAGAAGGAUGGUACGGACCGGAUGGUUGUAGAUUAUCGACCUGUCAAUUUGGUCACAAUCAAGAACAAAUAUCCGCUCCCCAGGAUCAACGACCUGUAUGAUCAGCUCGCUGGAUCCUCAAUCUUCUCCAAAAUGGAUUUGAGGUUGGGCUACCAUCAAAUCAAAAUCAGGAACGGGGACAUUCCUAAAACGGCCUUUGUUACUCGUUAUGGCCAAUACGAGUACACCGUCAUGUCCUUCGGUUUAACCAACGCUCCAGCCACCUUUUCUCGGUUAAUGAACUCAAUCUUCAUGGAGUAUUUGGAUAAAUUCGUCGUGGUUUACCUCGAUGAUAUACUCAUCUACUCCAAGAGCGAGGAAGAACAUGCCGAACAUCUAAGGCUAGUGUUGAAGAAACUUCGAGAGCAUCGCCUUUAUGCCAAAUUUUCUAAAUGUGAAUUCUGGUUGUCAGAAGUGACCUAUCUGGGUCAUGUAAUAUCUAGUAAAGGUAUUGCUGUUAACCCUGAGCGAGUUCAAGCCGUCCUUAAUUGGACUCCACCUGAAUCGGUCAAGCAAGUUCGGAGUUUUCUGGGCUUAGCGAGCUAUUGCCGCCGCUUUGUCGAAAACUUCUCGAAAGUUGCUAAACCUCUAACCGAACUCCUCAAGAAAGAUAAGAAGUUCGAAUGGACUCCACAAUGUGAGCACAGCUUUCAGGAACUGAAAAGACGCCUGACUUCUGCUCCCGUAUUAGUACCGCCGGACUUCUCUAAGGACUUUGUUAUCUACUGCGAUGCCUCGCGACAAGGACUAGGUUGCAUUCUCAUGCAAGAUCGACACGUAAUUGCUUACGCCUCACGGCAAUUGCACCCACAUGAGGAGAAUUAUCCUACUCAUGAUCUAGAGCUUGCAGCCGUAGUCUAUGCACUUAAAACCUGGCGACAUUACCUUCUUGGUAAUCGUUGCGAAAUAUUCACUGAUCACCAAGUCUAAAGUACAUCUUCACCCAACCGGAUUUGAAUCUCAGGCAAAGACAUUGGGUUGAGUUGAUCACAGAUUUUGACUUAGGAAUAACUUACACCCCAGGGAAAGCCAACGUCAUGGCUGAUGCGCUAAGUCGUAAAUCUUAUUGUAACAACCUGAUGUUACAACAAAGUCAACCGCUUCUCCAUGAGGAAUUUCGGAAGCUUAACCUUCACAUUGUUCCUCAAGGAUUUCUUUCCACCUUGGUGGCGAAACCUACUCUUACGGAUCAAAUUAUCGCUGCCCAAAAGCGAGAAAAGGGAAUAUCUAAAAUCAAGGAGAACAUUGCUAGCGGAGGUGCUAGUUGUUUCUCCACAGAUGAUCAUGGUGUUGUGUACUUUGAGAACCGUUUAGUGGUUCCCAAGAACCAGCAUCUAUGGCAGCUGAUCCUUAAGGAGGCUCAUGAAUCUCCUCUCACCAUUCAUCCCGGUAGUACCAAGAUGUAUCAGGACCUACGCCAGAGGUUCUGGUGGACUAGGAUGAAGAGAGAAAUUGCUCAGUAUAUUGCUAACUGCGACGUCUGCCGACGUGUAAAAGCAGAGCAUCAACGGCCUGCUGGCACCCUUCAACCCUUAGCUAUUCCUGAAUGGAAAUGGGAUAAAAUUGGUAUGGAUUUCAUUACCGGUUUUCCCAGGACCAAGAGAGGGAAUAAUGCUAUCUUCGUCGUUGUCGAUCGUCUUUCCAAAGUGGCCCAUUUCUUACCUGUUCGCGAGAGUAUAACCGCUAGUCAGCUGGCAGACUUAUACAUCUCCCGAAUAGUGUCUCUCCAUGGUGUUCCUUUGGAAAUUAACUCGGAUCGAGGAAGUCUUUUCACCUCUCGAUUUUGGGAAAGUUUCCAAAAUGCUAUGGGAACCCGCCUUUCCAUUAGCACCGCUUUUCACCCUCAAUCGAGUGGUCAAGUAGAACGCGUCAACCAGAUUCUAGAAGACAUGCUUCGAGCCUCUGUUAUCUCUUUCGGAAUGGAGUGGGAGAAAUGCCUUCCAUUUGCCGAAUUUGCUUACAACAACAACUAUCAAUCUAGCUUGGGUAAAGCCCCUUUUGAAGUUCUCUAUGGACGACGGUGUCGAACACCCCUUAACUGGUCAGAGACCGGGGAAAUACAAUUCUUUGGCCCGGAUAUGAUUCAGGAAGCAGAAGAGCAAGUUCGCAUCGUUCGUGAAAAGUUGAAAAUAGCCCAAUCUCGUCAGAAGAGUCAAUAUGACCGAAAACAUAAGGCUAUGACUUUCGAGGUUGACGAGAAGGCUUACCUUCGGGUUACCCCUCUGAAGGGAACCCAUCGUUUCGGUAUCAAAGGCAAAUUGGCUCCUCGUUACAUUGGACCUUUUCGCAUUCUCGCUAAACGAGGAGAAGUUGCCUACCAGUUGGAACUACCUCCGCACCUCUCCAGAGUCCACGAUGUCUUCCACGUUUCUCAACUCCGGCAUUGCUUCUCGGAUCCUAUCCGUGGAGUGGACCACGAAACGCUUGAUCUCCAAGAUAAUCUCACAUAUCGAGAGUACCCCAUUCGUAUCCUCGAUCAGGCCGAGCGUACCACUCGACGUCAUAAUAUCAAGUUUCUCAAAGUUCAAUGGUCGCACCAUUCUGAAGAUGAAGCAACUUGGGAAAGGGAGGACCGUCUUCGAUUUGAGUAUCCCGCCUUCUUCCCGGAGGAACCCAAAUCUCGGGACGAGAUUCUUUUGAGUGGGGGUGAGUUGUCACACCCUAGCUAGUCAUGCAUUAGAGUGUUGCAUCAUGUUUAUUUUUGCAUCAGGAACCUGAAAUGGGGAUGACAGAACCCCCAGUCCCCUUUGAAACCAAUUAGGGUUUACUAAAAACUUUUCCAAUGAACCUGAAAUGCCCUUCUAAAAUGCCCAUCAUUUUUGUCUUGGUUCAGAACCUCUGCCAAAAGUGAUGCACAUUUUCCUAGGCCAUCUUAGGGUUUGUGAAUUAAAUCAUAAAUAUUUGAAUUUGGGCAUUUAAAAUUAUAUAAAAUAUUUAAAUGCUCAAAUAUCUCCAAACUAAAAUGUUUCAUGUUGGAAAUAAUCCAAAUAUGGACCAGGAGUAGUUUGGUGAUUUUAGGAGUUGCCUAAGUAUUUUUAUUAAUUCAACAAAGUUGCAGAAGUAUUAAAAAACAGAAAACAGAGAAAAUAGAAAAACUUACCUGACGCCAGCUCCCGGCCCACCUGCCGGCCCAGCCCAGCGCCGCUCCAGCGAGCUGCUUGCCGGCCAGGCAGGCAGGCAGGUGCCCGACGGCGACCGCAACGCGCGCCACGCACCUGCUCGCCGCCUCGCCGCUCCCCUCGCCCGCUGACGUCGUGGAUCGCCCUCCCUCUCUCCCCCGAACCCCCCAGACACCCCCUCUCCUCUNNNNNNNNNNNNNNNNNNNNNNNNNNNNNNNNNNNNNNNNNNNNNNNNNNNNNNNNNNNNNNNNNNNNNNNNNNNNNNNNNNNNNNNNNNNNNNNNNNNNNNNNNNNNNNNNNNNNNNNNNNNNNNNNNNNNNNNNNNNNNNNNNNNNNNNNNNNNNNNNNNNNNNNNNNNNNNNNNNNNNNNNNNNNNNNNNNNNNNNNNNNNNNNNNNNNNNNNNNNNNNNNNNNNNNNNNNNNNNNNNNNNNNNNNNNNNNNNNNNNNNNNNNNNNNNNNNNNNNNCUCUCCUCUCCAGCUCCUUCCCCUCGCGCUCCCCCGCCAUGACCGACGCCACCACCGCCGUGCCUACGUCGUAGCCGUGCUCCCCGCUGCCCGUGCGUCCUCUCGUCGUGUCCAGGAGCUCUGCCGCUGUCCACUUCAACGAGCAAGCCGAGCCCCGAGCGCUCGCAACGCCCGAGUCCACCGCAACGACCUCGCCUGAACCGCCGCCGCCGGAGAUCCCCUUCAACACCGUCGUCGCUCCGGUCCAUCCCCGGCCGCAGCAAGGGCUUCGUCGCACUCACUGUGAGCUUAGCCAUCUUCCCCCCUUCUUUUCUUGCUCCCGAGCCGUGUAGCGACCUCCCGGAGCUCAACCGCACCCACCGCCGUGGAGCUCGUCGCCGACGUGCUCCCGGUCACCCUCCGACCACUCCACGGUGUCCAUCAUGCUCACCGCGUCACGUAGCACCUAAUUAGCUACUCCCCGCACCUCACCGACCCCUCUUGCGUCAAGUUCGACUUCGGCCGAACCCCGGUGGCCGCCAAAGUCGUCGCCGGCGCCAACUCCGGCCACCCCGACCCCAACGGACUCCACCAAGAGCUGCGGCUCGUCCUUAGCUCCACUCCGGUGGUCUCCGCGACCCAUUUGGUGGCCGAAACGGCCAAAACCACUUCCGCCGCCGCGUCGGGCUCGCCGGCGGCUAAACGCCGGUGCAGCCAACCCGGGUUUGACCACGGGUGGGCCCUGGUUGACUCCCUGAGUCAAUGACAGGUGGGGCCCAGCCCUGUUAAUUAAACAGGUUUAGUUUUAUUUAAACUUUAAUUAAGUUAAUCACACUGACACGCGGGACCCACUGUCAGGUUUGACCCGGACGUGUCCCGUUGACCUGCUGAUGUCACACUGACGUCAGGCUGACGCAGUAAUUGAUUUUCUGGAUUUAAUCUAAUAUAGGAAAUUCCAGAAUAUAGUUUAAACUUUAAAAAUUCAUAACUUUUAUUCUGUAACUCGAAAUCAGACAAAUUAUAUAUGAAAAAUGAUCAGAAAAAUCCAAUCUAUCCAUCUGUACUAUUUUCAUGCAUGAUUAAACAAGUUAACCUGAUGUUUAAUGCAGAACAAGGAAAAACACUUUAAAGGGCCAUGUUUGAGUUUGAAAUUUGAAUCUUUGAUUCAAAUUGGUUCAAACCCUUCUGGUCUUAGUUGCAUUAGCCCAACACACUCAUAUUGCUAUGUUUCAUGCAUGCAUCAUAUUGUUGCACAUUGUUUGGUGAUGGUUGUGUAUCGGUGUUCUAUGCGGCUGGAUCUGCCUCCGAGGAGUACCGUGAUUACCCUAACGAAGAACCGUAUCAGUGCAUCGAACCAUCAGGCAGGCAACCAACCAUUUGAUCAUAUCGAUACAAUCCCAUGUUCUCGCUCCUGCUCUCUUUUACUACAUUAAGACAACGCGUUUCAAACUGCUAUGUGCUACGGUAGUUGAACCCACUUCCUCUGCAUGACCUGUCAUUGCCACAGUAACUAGAUGAAACCCACUAGCAUGUGUAGGAGUUGAUUGAGCCAUAUGUAUGUGUUGUUCCUACCUUGCUAUGCCUGCUAUGCUUAGAGUCAUGUCAGGUCUGGUUCAUCUGGGUGAUGGGCUAGAGUGAAAUGAUUAUGUCGGUAAUGAGAGUGGUGUGGUGAACACGAUUUGGUAAAGGUAUCGAUGAGAGGCCAUGUAGGAGUACAUGGUGGGUUGUUUCAUUGAAGCCGACCUUAAGCACUGAGAUCUGUAUGUGUGAUUUAAGAUACAGCUACUACCAUGCAUUGGGCCCUGAAAUAUGACCCCGCUCGACUUCUUAUUCACCCUAGUCCUCUGUCCAGGAGUUGCAAGUAGUUUCUGGUGUUUGUAGCCUACUGGAGGCCGUGGACAGCGCUGACCGUAGGGGUGGGCUGUGAUGCGGUAGGUACGUGGCCGGGUGUACCGAAUACCCGUUAGGUAUCUCGGGAACCCUGUUCACAUUGUUCGGGGCCGUAUGGGAAACCUCGGCCGGACUCCCUGCGGAUGGAACCUGGAUAGGCGAUAAACCUGGACUAGAGACUUAGGUGUUUAGGUAGGUCGUGGUCUACACCCACGUCGGCUUUCGCUUGAAGUCUGCCGAGCACAUAUCGUGUGCAGACGCUAAGUGGUGGAAACAUGUAUGAAGAAGUACACCCCUGCAGGGUUAUCAUGAUCUAUUCGAAUAGCCGCGUCCGCGGUAAAGGACUACUUGGUUGCCUAUAUAGUUCAUAGACAAGUAAAUGGAAACUACUAAAAGCCUCAAGAUAAGUGUGAGUGCCGAGGAUGGCUCUUCCGUAGGAAGACGGAGGUGGAUCCUCGGUAGUGUAUUGAAGUGGUGAGUAGUGGACUCGUGUACGCAAAACCAUUUCAAGUUGGAGUCUCGUAGGUUAGCCUAGCCAAGAGUCAAAGCUGGCUUGCUGCAACAACUCCACCAACCCUUCUUGAUAAUGUGCAUGUAUUUAGGAUUUGAUGUAAGUCUUGCUGAGUACCUUUGUACUCAUGUUGCUAUAAUCUACACUUUUACAGAAGACGCUGCAACCCCUUCUGAUGGGUUCUACGUAGACGUUGACAUCACUGAGUAGGCUAAGGCCCAGGUGGUGAUCCUGAGCUUGUGAAGGACCACGUAGUAUAGCUAGGCUUUCCAAGCCUCUUUUAUUUUACUAGUUGUCUGUACCCAGACAAGCUACUUCCGCUGCUGGUUUGUAUGACUGUAUGACUUGAAUGCUGGGUCGUGUGACCCGUACCUAUGUGUAUGUUAUGUAUGGCUCCCGGAGCCUUAAAUAAAGUACUUGUGUCGUAGAGUCAUGUUGUGAUGCCAUGUUGUAUUUGCACAUAUCGAGCAUAUUGUGUGUAUGUUAUUGAAAUGCUUGGUAUGUGUGGGAUCUGACUAUCUAGUUGUUUAUCUUUAGUAGCCUCUCUUACCGGGAAAUGUCUCCUAGUGUUGCCGCUGAGCCAUGGUAGCUUGCUACUGCUCUGGAACACUUAGGCUGGCCGGCAUGUGUCCUUCUUCGUUCCUGUGUCUGUCCCUUCGGGGAAAUGUCACGCAUUGAGUACCGGAGUCCUGUUAGCCCGCUACAGCCCGGUCUACCGGAGUCCUACUAGCCCAGUGCUACAGCCCGGACCCACUUGCUGAUGACCGACACGAUCGAAUCUGGGUCGUGGAUGCCUGUCCCUGUAAGCCUGUGCCACUUUGGAUUUACGACUAGUCAUGUCAGCCCGGGCUCCUUAUCAUAUGGAUGCUAGCGACACUAUCAUAUACGUGAGCCAAAAGGCGCAAACGGUCCCGGGCAAAGGUAAGGCGACACCCGUGGGAAUACCGUGCGUGAGGCCGCAAAGUGAUAUGAGGUGUUACAAGCUAGAUCGAUGUGACAUCGAGUCGGGGUCCUGACAGGUUCUUUUUUGGUUUGUGUUACGUAUAUGCAUGGUAUAGGAGUAUGUACAUGUCAAAGAGGGGGCAACAUGAAUACUCUAUAUAUAUGCGUGUCAUAACCUCGCUCCAUGUGGGGACUUUCCGGUUCCCGAGGUAGGUGCCACAUCAAAGUUGUACAUUAUAUUGGUAUUCAAACAUCAUGCAAUACCAUGUAGGGGGUGGUUGCCCUAUAUAUAGGAAGUCACUCGCGUGUGGCGGUUCUAUCCAUGGGCAUGCGAGGUUGUCCUUUAUGACUUUGACCCAAUGAGAGAGAGGUUAAUUUGAUCAUCAAGGAAUGAUUCUUUUUUGGUUUGUGCUAUAUAGUAGAAGUACUUAUUUACCACGCGUCGAAUGGGGGUGUACAUAUAGCACAUACCAUGCGUCAUGAACCUCGCGCUCUCUGUGGGGACUUUUUUGGUUUCCUAUAUACGUGGUGCCACAUCAAAGUUGUGCAUUGUGUAUUCAAACAUCACACGAACACCUCUUUGGGCCACAUGUAGAUGGUGGUACGUAGUCCUAUAUAGGAUGUUCACUCGCGUGCGCCAUACGCUUCACUUUUGUGUUGGGCCCAUGAGUUCAUCGUCCAUCACUUUGCCCAGUGAGAGAGAGGUACGUUUGACGAACAAGGAGGAUUAAUUCUUUUAGGGUUGUGUUACUAGGUGUGUGUAUAUAGUAUGUGUCGAGAGGGGGGGGGGUGGUGACCAGCUUGGUCCAUCACUUUCACCGACAGCGCGAGAGAGGUUAACUAAAUUGACUUAGGAGGGGAUUAAUAUUUUGUUUUAUCUUGAUAUAGAUCAUGAUGUGAGAUUACAUAUCUAUAAUAGCACAUAUGUACACAUGAAUCCAUCCCGCUGGAUCUAGGGGGAGCACGCGACACAUCAUGAACGACCUCUUGCUCUGUGUGGGGACCUCUAUGAUUUUCAACGCAUGCACCACAUCAAUGUUGUGCAUUGGGUCGGGUAUUCAACACAUAUGCAUGCAUCACACACAUCCAUAAAUAUGUUCAGGACACACGCAUGCAAUAAUGGUUGUAUUUGGACACACUCUCACUCACUUGGUUAUGAGCGGCAAGCCUAUAUAUAUUCGUGGGCCCGCGUGGACGACAACGACGAGAAAGGUUACCAGGGUGGAUUCUUCUUAUUUGCUUCGAGUUACCGUAUAGUAGGUCGACCCAUUCCAAGCCUAAUUAUGUUUGAGCACAUGCUACGCAUCGUGAACCCUCACUCGAUGUGGGGAUUUUAUGGUUCCAAAGCAUGGUGCCGCAUCAAUUUUGCGCAUUGGGUAUUCAAACACCACACACACCACUUCCAUAUACAUACUUGGGCCACAUUCAUAGAGUGGGUUUGUCUUGAUACAGUACUCCCUCGCGAGGUUAUCGGCGACAAGCUAGCCCAUUUUGCGAGGCCGUGUGGACGUCCAUCACUUUGACCAACAACGAGCGAGGAGAGGUUGUAUGACCAAGUUGGAUUCUACUUGGUCCGUGUUACAGUACGUCUUGGUGAUAUGCCCCCCCCCCCGACGUGUGUGUGUGUGUGGGGGGGGCUACUUCGUGCUACCUGCAACCUCCGUGGGAUUAGGGAAGUCCGGUUAAUUUGCGAGGCUGAAAGUGCAACUAUCCCUGGGUGGUUUUGGUAAUUCCUAACAACAUAUAGCUCAUUGAGCUAAUGCUAUUUCAAGAUAAAUAUUUCAGGAAAUCUCAAUGAUUGGCAUGGCAUGGAUGAGAAAAGUGGACCCCUCAAAAUUCUAAGGACAAAAGGAUUGGCUCAAGCUCAAAGCUCAAGACUCUACAUUUUCUAUUUUAGUGAUCCAAGAUCACAUUGAGUCUAUAGGAAAAGCCAAUACUAUCAAGGAGGGAUGAGGUGUUGCUUAAUGAGGUUCUUGCUCAAAAUUCUCAGUGAUAUGCUCCAAAGCCCUCAACUACUUUCUCACAUCCACCUAUGACCUAAACCAAAAGUCAAACUCGGCCCCACCGAUUCUUUCUAUCCAGCGCCACCGAGUUCAGAUGUCAUAGCUACUGCCACAAACCCUAGGCAAAUCGGUCUCACCGAUAGGGAUAUUGGUCUCACCAAGAUGGGAUUGUAAUCUCUCUGUUUCCCUUGAAAAUGUUUCGGUCUCACCGAGAUGAGCGAUCGGUCCAACCGAGAUUGCAAUGUAAACUCUCUGUUUCCUUUUCGUAAUUGUUUCGGUCCCACCGAGAUGAGCGAAUCGGUCCCACGGAGUUUGCCUGACCAACUCUCUGGUUAGCUUAUUACCAAAAUCGGUCUCACCGAGUUUGUGUAAUCGGUCUCACCGAGAUUACGUUAUGCCCUAACCCUAAUAAUAUUGGUCCUACCGAGUUGCAUGUCGGUCCCACCGAAAAUCCUAACGGUCACUUGAUUUGCUAAAUCGGUCCGACCGAGUUUCUCAAUUCGGUCCCACCGAGAUUGGUAUGUUGUGUGUAACGGUUAGAUUUUGUGUGGAGGCUAUAUAUACCCCUCCACCCCUCUUCAUUCAUAGAGAGAGCCAUCAGAACAUCCCUACACUUCCAAAUACAUUUUCUGAGAGAGAACCACCUACACUUGUGUUGAGGUCAAGAUAUUCCAAUCCUACCAUAUGAAUCUUGAUCUCUAGCCUUCCCCAAGUUGCUUUCCACUCAAAUCUUCUUUCCACCAAAUCCAUAUCCUGUGAGAGAGAGUUGAGUGUUGGGGAGACUAUCAUUUGAAGCACAAGAGCAAGGAGUUCAUCAUCAACACACCAUUUGUUACUUCUUGGAGAGUGGUGUCUCCUAGAUUGGCUAGGUGUCACUUGGGAGCCUCCGACAAGAUUGUGGAGUUGAACCAAGGAGUUUGUAUGGGCAAGGAGAUCACCUACUUCGUGAAGAUCUACCCCUAGUGAGGCAAGUCCUUCGUGGGCGACGACCAUGGUGGGAUAGACAAGGUUGCUUCUUCGUGGACCCUUCGUGGGUGGAGCCCUCCAUGGACUCGCGCAGCCGUUACCCUUCGUGGGUUGAAGUCUCCAUCAACAUGGAUGUACGAUAGCACCACCUAUCGGAACCACGACUCAAAAAUCUCCGUGUCUCCAAUUGCAUUUGCCUCCUCAAACUCCUCCCCUUUACCUUCAUAUGCAAUUGUGUUCAAUUCCGCUGCUAUACUCUAGAAUUGCAUGUGUAGGUUGAUUGCUUGACUUGUGCUAAUUUGCUAAAAUCUGCCAAGAAUUAAAAUUGGGAAAAGGCUAGAUUUUUAUUUGGUCAAGUAGUCUAAUCACCCCCUCUAGACAUACUUUUGAUCCUAUAGAGGCACACGUGCCACAUCAAAGUUGUGAAUGGUAGUUAAAUAUCACACACCACACCCUUAUCAUACAUAUAGUAGGGCCACCCACAUGUGGUUCAUAUGUGGUCUCACCCAUCUCGCGCCACAAGAACACAUUUGUGGGUUGGCAAACAGUCCACCUUUGUCGGGAAGCGAAAGGGGAAGUUUGACCAUAUGUAUAUAUGAUGGAAUCCUAUAGGUUUUGUGUUACAGUAGGGUGAGAUUUUAGACCUAGCUAUUUGGGGGCAUGCAUUUGUAGCUAGGAUUCCCUUACUGCCGACAUGAAGUGGGCUCCGUAGGGGGUGGCUGACUAGCAAUAUUGUGCUUUUGUGCGACAGGUGCCACAUCAAAGUUGUGAUUUGGGUAUUCGAACAUCAAACCACCCUUUUCAUACAUAUAUUUGGUACACAUGCAAGUGUGUUCGUGUUCUAACCCUCUCCCGCAUUAUUCUCUUUGCCAAAUUUAUAAACAACACACGAGUUGGAUGUAGAAACCAUCUGCGAUUGGGUAAGCAACAUGCAUGGUUCGGUCAGACUACCCGUGUGCCACGCCCGUGCCAUGUAGUCCCUCACAUCAGCAUAGUAGAUUGGGCUCCACGAGGCUUGCCUCCCAGUCUCGAAAAUAUCUACUGCCUCGUAAUCUCAAAAAUAUCUACCGCCUGGAAGGUUUUAAUGUUUGAUAGCACACGAUUAGUAUGUGCGGACCAUGUGCGAUGUCUGUUACUCCCGCUCUGCUUCAGUCCCUUGAUUCAAAUUUUCAGUAGCCCCGACAUUUUACUCCCGCCUCUGCAUCCCUCGCAAUCUCAAAAAUAUCCGCUUGCCGUUGAUUCAAAUUUUCAGUUGCCCCGCCAUUCCCGCCUCUACAUCCCUCUCAAUCUCAAAAAUAUCUGCUCACCCUUGAUUCAAAUUUUCAGUUGCCCCUACAUUUUACUCCCACCUCUACAUCCCUCGCAAUCUCAAAAAUAUUUGCUCUCCCUUGAUCCAAAUUUUCAGUAGCCCCGCCUUGUUACUCUCGCCUAGUAAAAUUUGCAGUUGCCGCGGUAUUUCCUCAAGCACCGCCUUGCCCCCCUCCACACACACCACACACUCCCCAAAAUCUCCGCUCACACAGACACACACCACCCCCCCCUCGCUCGAAACCAUUGGUAGGUCGCCGCCGCCGCCUCCAUCCUCAACCUCUGCCUGUGUGCCGGGGAGCUCGAGGAGCCAAUGGCCAAAAAGAGGUUUAUCGCGACCCCUUUGCCCGGGUCCACCAAGGUGGCCGCCGAGGUGUCGCCGUCAUCCUCCACGGGCUCUUUAUCGAUCCACCGUCGCCAGUCGCCCAAUACACCCGCCUCCGCGCCCCUACGCCGGUUCGAGGACUUCUCCGUCCUUCGUCGGGCCCGACCGCCGAUAAGAUCCUACCUCGGGGUCCGGCAGCGGCGGUGGGGGACAUGGGUCGCCGAGAUUCAGAUCGGGAGACCCACACCCGCUGGUGUCUUAGUAGCUUCCACACGAAUGAGCUCGCGGCCAUGGAGUACGACCGCUGGCAGGUCUGCUACCACGAUGCGGCGACUAGGCUCAAUUUCCUCUUUGUCACACGUCCGGUCGACCUCGAUCCGCUGGAGCCAGGGGUGGUGAUCUUAGCUAUGGCACGGGAGGACCACGAGGCAUGGGAGCGCCUCGAGGCUGAGGCCGCCGACGAGGCCUACAUGCAAGAGCUCUACCGGUAGCACCCGGGGCUCGUGGAGGCGAAGCGGGUGAUCUUUGCCGACGCGGAGGGUGGCGAGGUUAUCGUUCUCUCCUCCAAUGAAGAGGUCAAAGGCGGUGAGGAUGGCGGCGCAGAUGGAGUCAAGGUUGGCGGCGAGGAUGAGUGGAUCGACGUUGACGAGUGGAGGAGUGUCUUCCCCAACGACCCCGACAAUGGCAGCGGCCCGGACCCGGCUCGCGGCACACCGUACCUGACGAGGAAGGAUUGGCUCGACCUCCACUUCGGCCGAAAGUAGUUUAGCUUAGUUUAAAUUUAUGUUUUAUGUUCAGUUAGGCAAAACUAUCUAUGAUUAGGUUUGAAUGCAUGCUACUUUUGGUUGAACCUUCUUUGAACUUGAUCGAAUUGAAGUUUACAACAUUAAGUUUAGGGGAUCGACCAGAAACAGCCAAAAAUUGCUGGAGUAUAUAUAUCCACUAAGGGUUUUAGUCUGUUAACUUUUAAAGGAUCGGCUAGAGAUGGCCUUAUGCCUUGUUUAUUUCAGUUCUUCACAAUGUGAUGCUCUAUAUGUGCAACUACUUGCCAUGUAGUUCAAUUUCAUCAAUAAUAGUUUCAACAAUACCACUUUGAAUUACGACAUUUGGUUGCUAUUAAGGAUGUUGCAUUUAACAUGCCUUUUCGUUUUUAACAAUAACUAGUGUACUUUAGACCUACACAAUACCAGUUUGAAUGACUAUUUGCUUGUUUUUAAAUGUUAUGCCUAAUGCAGUUAACACACCUUUCCAUUUAUUGUUUUGCUUAACUAGCGUGCUUAAGCCUGCACACUGAAGCUAUCAUUUGUAUAUUAUGUUGUCUACCAUGGAUAUAUUUGGUUGAUGUUUAGCCUGUUGUGCUUAACAUGCCUUUAUAUGUACUCAUACAUGACAAUAUUGAGAACAAUGCUAUUUUCCAUCGAGGUUAGUUUCAUUGCAUUGCUUACAUGUACUCGCUGUUCAGGAUAUCGGUAGCUGGUACCAUAUAGCCUGAGGGCUGAUAAGGGAUUAAUCAUCGAAUUGGACAUUUCACUGAAUAUAUUUGUAACCCAUUUAUCAGUAGGUUAACUAGGGCCAUAUUUAAUAUAUCUAAGGCUACAUAGCAACAUGCAUUGUACUGAAUAACUAAAUAUGCAAUCCAAGCUACAUAACAUUAAGGAAGAGUGUUACCUUAAUGUUUUGAUGAUGUCUAGAUAUACAUGUAAUAAAAUCUUAUAUAAUGGGAUGGAGGGAGUGUUGUACUACAUAAUUUUGCAAUUGUUGUUUAGCUUCUAAUAUUAACUUGGUGCUUUUAGGUACAUAUGUCAUUGCCAAAGAUCCACACUUCGACCCUUUUUGCGUAUGGGGCAAUGAGAUAUUCAUGAACCAACAUCAAGUGAGGAAACUGAUAAAGAUUGUUAUUAAAAUGGGUCAAAAGAUGUCAAUCAAACUAUUUGUUUACACUUUAUGCAAGACAAAAGUGAACUGUAGGAUGGUAAGUAAGAACCCUGUAGCCUUCUUUUUACUACCCAUGAGUUUUAGAUGACAAUGUCUGAAUCUUUUUUCCUUUGCAGUGAUUCUGGAAGCAGUUUACUCAAGAUUACCUCUCAAACUACAUGAAUGGCGGCCGGCCAUCACAAGGGAUUGGACUAGAGUCGUGCGUGCCUUAUGCAUCCAGGAGAGCACAAUAGGGCCAUUCCGCUUCACCUUGUUCAGCAACCAGAAUGUUUGUCGCCUCUUUCUUUACCAUCUGUAAUAGUACAAGUAUAGAACCUUGGUUCAUCAUUCUUUAUUUGGUGCUUAUGUAAUUCUUAAAAAUAUGUACCUGUGUAUCGAAUAAUGCAUUGGUUGUUUGAACCUGAUGGAUAUGAAUAAAGCUAUAGCCUACUUUCAAGUUCAAAUUAGGUACAAUUUUAAAUAGCAACAAUUAAAUUAGGGUGAAAUUACGGUGUGCAGGUCGUUACGGCGCACACGGUCAAUAAAGCACAGUAUGUGCGAUAUACAUCAUAAUCUGACACGGUUCAUGGAGAGGAAACGUGUGUAACAAUGCACACGGUUGCCGUUUGCAAAGCGUGUGUGAUGUCAGACACUAUCAUAUACGGUGCGGGAAAACUAAAUGUAUGUGAUUGUCUACCUAUCGUACACGGUUUAUAAUCAUCAACUGUUUGUGAUGUGCCAGGCAUUGUAAACGUAGAGCCAGUUUGGUACGUGCCUAGAAAACUCCCGUGCCUAGAAUCUGCGUGGUUUUAGGUAAAACGACAAAACUCCGACUGUGAUGGCAAUGCAAGCAUAAACGAGUAGCAAGGGUGAAGUGUUUGGGAUAUUCGAUAUAUCGAAAACGGUUAUAUAGGGACAACUGUAUGUAUCAAGGCUCACUAUCCCUGACGGUUUCUAGGUCGUGUGGGAAGGACCCCCCUAUCGCAGUCACUCACUAGGCAAUGGUUCCAAAUGCCGUCGCGAGAAGGGGUUAAAAACCGUUUGUAUAGCACCUCAUUAUACCAGUGAUGGAACUAAAGAUAGAAGGACCAAAGGAAGCUCUAAAAGGGGACAAGGGCAAGGAUGCUAUUGGAAAUCAAGCUCCAGUAGUAGAGCAAGCCUUGCCCGCGGCGGAAGAAGAAGACGAUAUCCUCCAACCAUAUUAUGAACAUCUUACCCCCACUGAAAUUGAAACUUUUAGGAUCAUUGAAAUGGUUCGUGUUUAAAAAAAAUAUCUCACUCAUGAAAAUAUUUUAUUGCAAGAUCACAUCAUUGCCCUCCGGAGCUUCAUCCAUAGAUUGGAAUAUCUUUUGAGCCUGAAGGAUAGACCGCUACGUCAUCACCACUGCCACCUUCUUCAUCACCAAAGGAGACUUGAGUUCAUGGUAUGGACACUCCCCUGGGCUUGUGCUAGGCUUGGGGGAGGUGUCCCGGUAUUGUAUCACCACCACUAUCUUUGCUUUUAUCAAUUUUAGUUUGAUCUUUAGUUUUCCUAUGAUUUAGUUGAAUAAAAGUUUAGUUCGAUCCUUUCUUUUCAAGUGUUUGCUUAGUGAUCUAUCUAUCGAUGUAAUCAUGUUUGAGAUAUAUAAUAAAGAGUAGCUUGAGUUUGUUUCUUUACUUUAAUGUUUUAAUAAAAAGAAAGGAAAAUAAAUGAGUAAGAUCAUAUGCUAAUCUUAUGGUAAGUAAUGACAUGGCAUAAAGAAAAGUAUAAGUGGGAAAAUUUGUUGGAGAUUGUCAAACAUAGCAUUGGUCAAUGAUGCAACUCAUGAAAGAAUUAAUAAGGGAAGAGAAGAUCCACAUGUAAAUACACUAUCUUGGACACAUUUUUAUGACUGUGAGCCCCCAUUAAAUAUUUUGUGUCAAAAUAAUUGGCGUUGGACAAGGAAGACAACGUAAUGAUUUAUGUAUGUUCAUAUUCACAUAGAAGUUAUAUUGUCAUAGAUCCUUUAACAUGUGGUCCUUGCUCAAUAUCUUUUCUAGCCAAAAAUUCAGCACUAAGUAGAGAUACUACUUGUGCAUCCAAAACCCUUAACCCAAAUCUCAUUUCGAGAGUCCACCAUACCUACCUAUGGAUUGAGUAAGAUCCUUCAAGUAAGUUGUCAUCGAUGAAAUAAGGCAAUAAAAAUUGCUUCUAAAAGUGUUGGAUCAUUUAGUGUAAGAGAAAAUUGAGCGUUGUACGAACUUGUGAUGGCAAAGAAUAAAAGUGACAUACUACAUAAUAAAGGUUGCUAUCGUAAGGGGCAAUAUAACGUGACAUUCUUUUGCAUUAAGGGAUUUGGCAUACAAACAAAUAAGCGCAUGACAACCUCUGCUUCCCUCUACGAAGGGCCUAUCUUUUACUUUUAUGCACUUAGUUUUAUGUAAGAGUCAAAUUAUUCUUCCCUAUUCCUUUUUAUUUUCUCUUUUUGCAAGCACCAUGCGGUGAGGAAAGAUCUAGGCACAUAUAUCUAGUAGGAUCUGAGUAGGCAUAAUUUAUUAUUGUUGACAUCACCCUUGAGGUGAAUACGUUGGGAGGCGACACUAUAAGCCCCUACCUUUCUAUGUGUCCGGUUGAAACUUUUUGUUCAUGGGUACACUGUGAGUGUUAGCAAUCAUAGAAAAUUAAAUCAUGGUUGAGUAUGUGGACUUGCCAAAAGGCUCCUACAUGUGACCCUUCAUGAAAAUAUGAUGAAUUGUAGUUGCAAAGUUGACUGAGAACAUAGUUGGUUGGUUUUCAAUAAGGUUUAUGCUUUAUACUUCAAUAUGUGAUAAAUUGUUACUUGUUCAUGAGAAGUUAUAUGAUAAAAAUUAUAUGUUGAAAGUUAUGUGAUAAAAUUUAUUUGAUAAAGUUCAUGUUAAACUUCCUUGUUAUUAAAAUAAUAUGCAUGAUGCUUCCAUGUCCAUAUUUUGUUUUUAUCGACACCUCUCUCUCUAAGCAUGUGGACAUGCUUUUCGAUUUUGGUUUUCGCUUGAGGACAAGCGAGGUCUAAGCUUGGGGGAGUUGAUACGUCCAUUUUGCAUCAUGUUUUCCUAUUGUUAUUUAUAAUGUUUUUAUGCAUAAUAAUGCUUUUGGGAGUAAUUCUAAUGGCUUUUCUCUCAUAAAUUGCAAGGUUUACUAAAAGAGGGAGAAUACUGGUAACUGGAACUCUGGACCUGAAAAUGCACGUCAGAUAUACCUAUUCUGCAGAACUCCAAAUAAGCUAAAACUUCACGGAGAUUUUUUAUGGAUUAUUUAAGAAUUAAUGGAGCAAAUAACUACCAGAGGGGCCCCACCAGGUGGGCACAACCCACCUGGGCGCGCCAGGGAGCCCAGGCGCGCCCUGGUCGGUUGUACACUCCUCGACCCACCUCUGGUGCCUCUCUUCUGGUAUAUAAGUCAUUUUGACCUAGAAAAAAAAAUAAGGAGAGGACUUUCAGGACGAA
rnacentral:lncRNA from 1 species